rnacentral:lncRNA from 1 species
GUUAUGUUAAUCUGGGUAGGGGUUUCUGGGUCGGAAUCGGAUUCGGAUUCGGGAGUAGGGUCGGAUCGUGAGCUGGAAAGGGAAAUGAAAGAAGAGAAACUGAGGGGUUUGUGGGGUUUACUUGAAAAGGGGAAGGAGAGAGAAGUAGGUUUAGGGGAUUGAGAGAAGAAAGACUUGACUUUGAGAGAUUUGGAUAGGAGGAGAGAAGAAGGUUGAGCGGUGAGGAGAAGCGCCAUUUUCUUUUGGUUUCGAUCUUUCAACUUCCUCUGCAACUCAGCUUCUCAUUGACUAGUAGUUUC